rnacentral:rRNA from 1 species
UACAGAGACUGCAAGCGUUAUUCGGAUUCACUGGGCGUAAAGGGUCCGCAGGCGGCCGUGUGUGUGAGGCGUGAAAGCCUGGAGCUUAACUCCAGAAUUGCACCUCAAACUACACGGCUAGAGCAUUGGGGAGGGUAGCGGAAUUCACGGUGUAGCAGUGAAAUGCGUAGAUAUCGUGAGGAACACCAGAGGCGAAGGCGGCUACCUGGACAAUUGCUGACGCUCAGGCACGAAAGCGUGGGGAGCAAAAGGG